rnacentral:rRNA from 1 species
AGAGUUUGAUCCUGGCUCAGAUUGAACGCUGGCGGCAUGCUUUACACAUGCAAGUCGAACGGCAGCACGGGUGCUUGCACCUGGCGGCGAGUGGCGAACGGGUGAGUAAUGCACCGGAACGUACCCAGUAAUGGGGGAUAACACAUCGAAAGAUGUGCUAAUACCGCAUACGCCCUGAGGGGGAAAGCGGGGGAUCGUAAGACCUCGCGUUAUUGGAGCGGCCGAUGCCGGAUUAGCUAGUUGGUGAGGUAAGAGCUCACCAAGGCGACGAUCCGUAGCUGGUCUGAGAGGACGACCAGCCACACUGGGACUGAGACACGGCCCAGACUCCUACGGGAGGCAGCAGUGGGGAAUUUUGGACAAUGGGCGCAAGCCUGAUCCAGCCAUGCCGCGUGAGUGAAGAAGGCCUUCGGGUU